CAGAUAUUGCAGCCUGCUGUCUCCAACCCAGCGGCCGUAACUCAACUUUCAAAGGGACAACUGUGGACUCCUCAUGGAAGUCUGCAUAGAAGACAAGAUCUCCCUCUGGAACCCGGGCUGGAAUACAGUGGCACACUCAUACCUCACUGCAGCCUUGAACUCCUGGGCUCAAGCGAUUCUCCCACCUCAGCUUCCUGAACAGCUGGGAAUACAGGCGCACCUCACCACACCCAGCUUCAGUCAGCCUGUUCUUGAUGCCUGGAGUCCCUUAUUAGAGAACUUCUCUGGUUUCCUAAAUAUUGUUCCUUAUUUAAAAUGCAACUUAGCACCUCCAGAAGUGUCUGUAGUGCUCUCUUGUCCCCAUAAAUGAGUUAGUUGUGUUCCAAGAUGCAUUCUACCAUGGGCUGAGUGUCCUGGGUUUCUCAAGACGUAUAUUUCAAUGUUAGGGCAUAUGUACACAGGCAGUUUUGGUAGGGCCCAACCUUCUUGUAUAUGUCAGUGCAUAAGCAUGGUGUGAUACAGAGAUGCUUAACCCGUGGGCCCCAAAACAGGGCAUUA
rnacentral:lncRNA from 1 species